rnacentral:rRNA from 1 species
AUAUUGGACAAUGGGCGCAAGCCUGAUCCAGCCAUGCCGCGUGAGUGAUGAAGGCCUUAGGGUUGUAAAGCUCUUUCGUUGGGGAAGAUAAUGACGGUACCCAAAGAAGAAGCCCCGGCUAACUUCGUGCCAGCAGCCGCGGUAAUACGAAGGGGGCUAGCGUUGUUCGGAAUUACUGGGCGUAAAGCGCGCGUAGGCGGACCAUCAAGUCAGGGGUGAAAGCCUGGAGCUUAACUCCAGAACUGCCUUUGAUACUGUUGGUCUUGAGGUCGGGAGAGGUGAGUGGAACUGCGAGUGUAGAGGUGAAAUUCGUAGAUAUUCGCAAGAACACCAGUGGCGAAGGCGGCUCACUGGCCCGAAUCUGACGCUGAGGCGCGAAAGCGUGGGGAGCAAA